rnacentral:rRNA from 1 species
UGGGGAAUAUUGGACAAUGGGGGGAACCCUGAUCCAGCCAUGCCGCGUGUGUGAAGAAGGCCUUAUGGUUGUAAAGCACUUUAAGCGAGGAGGAGGGUACUGGUAUUAAUACUACCAGGUACUGGACGUUACUCGCAGAAUAAGCACCGGCUAACUCUGUGCCAGCAGCCGCGGUAAUACAGAGGGUGCGAGCGUUAAUCGGAUUACUGGGCGUAAAGCGUGCGUAGGUGGUUCGUUAAGUUGAAUGUGAAAGCCCCGGGCUCAACCUGGGAACUGCAUCCAAAACUGGCGAGCUAGAGUAGGGCAGAGGGUGGUGGAAUUUCCUGUGUAGCGGUGAAAUGCGUAGAUAUAGGAAGGAACACCAGUGGCGAAGGCGACCACCUGGGCUCAUACUGACACUGAGGUGCGAAAGCGUGGGGAGCAAACAGG